GUGGGAGCUUGUGGCCCUGUGUAAUGUGGACCGGGAUGACCCCCGCCGGCCCGUAGGGGGGGGGACGUGGGCUAAGCGGUAAAUCAGCCGGAUAUGAAGGUGGCAGGAGAGCGGCCGUCUCUCCCGCGCUGCCUGUGUGAGCAGGCCGCAUGUUGGUGCCGUGCGGUAUGUCAGCAGGCCUCAGUAGGUGGAUUGGGGCACCCGGCUGUCGAACUGCUCGAUUUUGGUAUCCGGUUAUUCGCCUGGGUUUCCCCCGCUUAUUAAGAGCUGACUUGGAGAUGGACGUGCCGAGUUGCAUGGGUUUUACCCCAGAAAAGGACGAUUUGGCUCAGGAGCUGUGUCUCGGCACGUCUGCUCAGUCUGGCUGCUCGGCUCCGCCCCU